UGUCGGCGACCGGCGCACGGGUGAGUAACGCGUAUCCAACCUGCCCAUAACUAAGGGAUAACCCAGCGAAAGUUGGACUAAUACCUUAUGUAUUUGUUUGAUCUCAUGAGAUUACGAAUAAAGAUUUAUCGGUUAUGGAUGGGGACGCGUCUGAUUAGCUUGUUGGCGGGGUAACGGCCCACCAAGGCAACGAUCAGUAGGGGUUCUGAGAGGAAGGUCCCCCACAUUGGAACUGAGACACGGUCCAA
rnacentral:rRNA from 1 species